rnacentral:rRNA from 1 species
UUGACCUCAAAUCGGGUGAGACUACCCGCUGAACUUAAGCAUAUCAAUAANCCG